UAAAGAUUCAUCGCUGAUAGAUAGGCAUGCGUUCCAUUAGGCAGCUGGCGGGGUAACGGCCCACCAAACCGACGAUGGAUAGGGGUUCUGAGAGGAAGGUCCCCCACAUUGGUACUGAGACACGGACCAAACUCCUACGGGAGGCAGCAGUGAGGAAUAUUGGUCAAUGGGCGUAAGCCUGAACCAGCCAAGUCGCGUGAGGGAUGAAGGUUCUAUGGAUCGUAAACCUCUUUUAUAAGGGAAUAAAGUGCGGGACGUGUCCCGUUUUGUAUGUACCUUAUGAAUAAGGAUCGGCUAACUCCGUGCCAGCAGCCGCGGUAAUACGGAGGAUCCGAGCGUUAUCCGGAUUUAUUGGGUUUAAAGGGUGCGUAGGCGGCCUUUUAAGUCAGCGGUGAAAGUCUGUGGCUCAACCAUAGAAUUGCCGUUGAAACUGGGAGGCUUGAGUAUGUUUGAGGCAGGCGGAAUGCGUGGUGUAGCGGUGAAAUGCUUAGAUAUCACGCAGAACCCCGAUUGCGAAGGCAGCCUGCCAAGCCAUGACUGACGCUGAUGCACGAAAGCGUGGGGAUCAAACAGGAUUAGAUACCCUGGUAGUCCACGCAGUAAACGAUGAUCACUAGCUGUUUGCGAUACACAGUAA
rnacentral:rRNA from 1 species